AGAUCAACUUCCAGGUUGUGUAAUAUUUAUUGAAUUAUGCUUUUCUUGCUUGCCUCAUUGAGAUCCUGACUACUUCAUUCCCAAUUUUGCAUAGAAAAACAGCUUCCAUCCAUGAGUUUAUGGCGGUUGAUGAUUCAUUGAUGGAAAAGAUCAUCUCAGCGGACAUUGAUAGCAAAGAUCCAUAGCAUAUCUGGUCUGGAUGUUGUUUUUGCUGUGUUGUUGUUGUUGCACGGUAACAGUAGGAAGUUGUUGCUGUACAACUGUAGAGUAAUUAAUCUGUACUAG
rnacentral:lncRNA from 1 species